AAUGAACGUUGGCGGCAUGGAUUAGGCAUGCAAGUCGAGCGAACCGUAGCAAUACGGUGAGCGGCGAAAGGGAGAGUAACGCGUGGAUAUCUGCCUCCUGGCCUGGGAUAGCUGCGGGAAACUGCAGGUAAUACCAGAUAAAGUCUUCGGACCAAAGGUGUGAUUCCUCCGGGAGAUGAGUCCGCGUCCUAUUAGCUAGUUGGUAAGGUAAUGGCUUACCAAGGCAAUGAUGGGUAGCAGGUGUGAGAGCACGACCUGCCUCACUGGGACUGAGAUACUGCCCAGACACCUACGGGUGGCAG
rnacentral:rRNA from 1 species